UCCCUGGAGGACUAGUGAUGAGGCCUUGGUGCUCUCUCAGCCUCGGCCUGGGUUCAAUUCCCAGCCAGGGAA